rnacentral:rRNA from 1 species
AUUGAACGCUGGCGGCAGGCCUAACACAUGCAAGUCGAACGGUAACAGGAAGAAGCUUGCUUCUUUGCUGACGAGUGGCGGACGGGUGAGUAAUGUCUGGGAAACUGCCUGAUGGAGGGGGAUAACUACUGGAAACGGUAGCUAAUACCGCAUAACGUCGCAAGACCAAAGAGGGGGACCUUCGGGCCUCUUGCCAUCGGAUGUGCCCAGAUGGGAUUAGCUAGUAGGUGGGGUAACGGCUCACCUAGGCGACGAUCCCUAGCUGGUCUAAGAGGAUGACCAGCCACACUGGAACUGAGACACGGUCCAGACUCCUACGGGAGGCAGCAGUGGGGAAUAUUGCACAAAGGGCGCAAGCCUGAUGCAGCCAUGCCGCGUGUAUGAAGAAGGCCUUCGGGUUGUAAAGUACUUUCAGCGGGGAGGAAGGGAGUAAAGUUAAUACCUUUACUCAUUGACGUUACCCGCAGAAGAAGCACCGGCUAACUCCGUG